UAACUUUGAUGAAUUCUUAAUAUGACGUAUUAAGAAUUCAUUUAAGUCACU
rnacentral:pre_miRNA from 1 species